rnacentral:rRNA from 1 species
UGCAGUCGAGCGAAUGGAUUAAGAGCUUGCUCUUAUGAAGUUAGCGGCGGACGGGUGAGUAACACGUGGGUAACCUGCCCAUAAGACUGGGAUAACUCCGGGAAACCGGGGCUAAUACCGGAUAACAUUUUGAACCGCAUGGUUCGAAAUUGAAAGGCGGCUUCGGCUGUCACUUAUGGAUGGACCCGCGUCGCAUUAGCUAGUUGGUGAGGUAACGGCUCACCAAGGCAACGAUGCGUAGCCGACCUGAGAGGGUGAUCGGCCACACUGGGACUGAGACACGGCCCAGACUCCUACGGGAGGCAGCAGUAGGGAAUCUUCCGCAAUGGACGAAAGUCUGACGGAGCAACGCCGCGUGAGUGAUGAAGGCUUUCGGGUCGUAAAACUCUGUUGUUAGGGAAGAACAAGUGCUAGUUGAAUAAGCUGGCACCUUGACGGUACCUAACCAGAAAGCCACGGCUAACUACGUGCCAGCAGCCGCGGUAAUACGUAGGUGGCAAGCGUUAUCCGGAAUUAUUGGGCGUAAAGCGCGCGCAGGUGGUUUCUUAAGUCUGAUGUGAAAGCCCACGGCUCAACCGUGGAGGGUCAUUGGAAACUGGGAGACUUGAGUGCAGAAGAGGAAAGUGGAAUUCCAUGUGUAGCGGUGAAAUGCGUAGAGAUAUGGAGGAACACCAGUGGCGAAGGCGACUUUCUGGUCUGUAACUGACACUGAGGCGCGAAAGCGUGGGGAGCAAACAGGAUUAGAU